AUAGCUUCUCGGUUUUAUGGCUAAGAUCCAGUAUAGUAUCUGUUCUUGUCAAAAUACCAUGGACAGUCUUAUCCAAUCUAUAAAAAAUUAAAAGUAUGCAUACAAA
rnacentral:snRNA from 1 species